GUUUUACUAUGUUUUUUUUUUCUUUCAGAACAGUGAGACCAGAAUUGGGAGGAAAAUCUGGGCCAUAUUCCCUUUGUGUCAGCAGCUUCCUGAUGAGAAUAAUAUUCUUGAAAAAGCAGAAGCCAUCACUGGUAGAGGUCUGCAACCCGACCAGAUUUCUUGCGACACGGGAUUAAAUUCCAGAAUAAAACGCGAUAGCGUCUGUAUCCGAUCAGAUGGUGGAUCAGCACCAAGAGAUGAUGUCUACAGCCCUGAUCGUCAGCGGAGACCAGGACACCCAGAUGACCCCCAGAGAUAUAUCCCCAGUGAAAACCUCGAUUGAAUACAAUAAAACUAAAAAAAAAUAACAAAAAUAUAAUAAAAUACCUAACUACAUAAUACUACUAUUGUUAGAAAUUGUAACAAAAUUAAAAUAGAAAUAUAAACUUUUGAACUGCGGGUUUCUUCUGGUCAGAGGAGAACUGACCCCCGACUGAGCCUGGUUUCUCCCAAGGUUUUUUUCUCCAUUCUGUCUCGGAGGGAGUUUUGGUUCCUUGCCGCUGUCGCCUCUGGCUUGCUCAGUUGGGGACACUUAAAUUCUAGCGAUUAUUGCCGAUUUGAUUGCACAGAUACUAUUUAAACUAAACUGAGCUAGACAAUGACAUCUCUGAAUUCAAUAAUGAAAUGCCUUUAACUGAAAAUUGAGUGUUUAAUCUUAUCAUUAUACAUCACUGACACUCUAUCCUCCUAUUUGAUACUGUUAAGUGCUUUGACACAAUCUGUAUUGUAAAAGCGCUAUAUAAAUAAAGGUGACUUGACUUCCCGAGAGCAAUGCUAAUGCUAAUGUUAACUGACUGAUGAAAUGUCACGGAGAUUUGAACAAGUUCUGUUGUCGCUCAUAUCGGUUUCACAGACAGCGCAGUAGUAUUAGAAAAGCAUGUUUUACUCCAGUUACCUCAUUAGCAGCUUUGGUGCGAUCGACUGAUGAAGCAGUCUAAUGAAAAUGCAUACAAUAUGAUAUAUUUAGUCAAUGAUUAUUUGUUCUGUGCUUCUUUGUUCAAUAAUUAUCUCACUAGACGUCAGAGAUGUUUAUUUUUUUCAUGAAAAUACAUGGUAAAUUCACUUACCUUGUUAUAAAUGGCUCCCACGAAGCUUCAGUAACGUAUCUGCCAGAAGCAUUUCCUCCACACGUUCAAAUUUCCUGACCCCGCCUCUUCUUCAAUUUUAUUGGUUGAAUCUGUGAACCAAUCAUUUUCCUUUCUGCCCUCAGAACAUGUUUGUGUAAGUAAAACUCCCAUCUGCGGUUAGAGAGUCAGACUUAUAACCCAAAGGUCACGGGUUCGAGUCUCGGGUCCAGCAGGGAUUGUAGGUGGGGGGAGUGAAUGUCCAGCGCUUUCUUCUACCUUCAAUACCACAACUGAGGUACCCUUGAGCAAGGCACCGAACCCCCAGCUGCUUCCUGGGCACCACCGCAAAAAUGGCUGCCCACUGCUCCGGCUCUAAUUAAAGCAUUCAUGCCUAAGGAACUCAAGGGUCAUUGUUCAGAGGAGACGUGUCCCUUUAAUACCCUGUUCUGGAAUGUUCUUCAGCCCAGAUCUGCUCGUUUGGAUGGACCGUGAGCUGAGCCCAAAGCUGUGGUAAUGAGGCCAACACCUGACGACAGCAUCACUCAGACAGAGACAGAGAGUAUGACAUUAUCAGGAUGAAGGAAAACGCACACAUGAGCAUCUGCAGUGCUGAUACGGGACAGAAGGAGUGAAGCAGAGGGAAUAAAAUGCAUCUGGCUUACAGCUCGCCGGCUGAGGUUUCGAGUCUGAAAUGUGAUGAGAUUGGCUGUUUGAAUUCCUAGCGGGCUGGAGAGACUGCUGUAACCUUUAAGGAGAUUGCUGAGCUGAACUAGAUCACUGUAGACAAACUCAGGCAUCAGGUGCCACGAGGGAUCUGCUCCAAAAGAAAAUGAGUGCAAUCUUUUCAUCUGAGAUAGCUUUUCUUGCCUCUGGUUUGAUUGGUAUGAUCAAGGUCAGGCAACCCUGCUGCAGGACGGUCAUUCACAUGCUGGGUUAACCGAAUAAACAAACGUGUUAGCAUUACUGUUCUUCAUUAUAAGUGACAUUCUGGACAAACUGUUCCUUCAGCUUCAUGCUUCAUGAAGACAGAAUAAUAAAACAGACACCUAGGCCAAUGACUGAGAGUAUGUUCAAUGAUGUACCUCACUGGUACAAUGGCCACUGAUCACUUUAAUAUUCAAAUCAACAGAACAUGGAUAUGAAGACAUGAACACCCUCUCAUGAAGUGUCAGAUCACCACCAUCAACAUUGAAUAUUUUACAACAUGAAUACAAAUGCCCUGCUGAAUAUUUCCAGAGAGUUUGAUGCAGGUGCUCUGUGGCAACAUCAUCAUAGCAAAAUGUACAUCAAAACAAGUUUAUUCUCUAUUGAAAUGUAUCAAAAGUGGGUGAAAGAUGAUGUGAAACAUGCUCAAUUUAAAAGAAAAUUAACAUUCAGUAAUAUUAUUGAUUUAACUGCACUUACACUACUGGAUGUGGGCCAAAUUUUAAAAGUGAAUUAAACUGGAUAAUGACACUAACUUUGUAUCAUCGACACUGCUAUUAAAGUAAACUGAUCUGAACAAUGACUCUGUUGUCUUCAGUAGAGCUGCUUUACAGCUGGAAUUGGUAAAUGAUGAAUUCUGAAAUGUUAACACACAUUUCUUCCUGUUUAUUACUGUCAAGUCACCUUUAUUUCUAUAGCACUUUAUACUGUACAAUAAAGAUCAUUUCAAAGCAGGUUCCUGAAAACAACAGAAUCGAUGGUCAAACUUCAUCAAAUGGGAGACGAAUUCAAAACUUGCUGUAAAGAAGAUUUGAAGACAAUGGUGUCAUUAUUCAGCUUGAAUCAGAUCAAUGUUGAAAUAGUUCAGUUCAAUAAUUCAGUUUCAGCUGUAAGCAGCUCUACAGAAGACAAUAGAGUGAUUAUUCAGAUCAGUGUGGUUUUGUUUUCAUCCAGUGGUGUCAGUGCAGUCAAACUGAUGACAUUACCAAAUAUUAAGCGUCUUUUAAAUCCCAAAUCAAUGAGCCAGAAGGUGACAAUGACAAGGAACCCAUACUCCAUCAUGAGACAGAAAUGGAGAAGAAACCUUGGAAGAAACCAGACUCAGUCGAGGGGACUCACUGUGAAGUUGCUUUGAGGUGAUCUGUUCUGUAUAGAACAGUAUAGAACUAUAUAGCGCUGUAGAAAUAGUACUGGAGUGUACUUUGUACUAACAGCUUCUGCAAGAACGUCUGACUUUAUCAUGAUUCUAACCCUAACCUUAAAUGUGUUGUAAAGUGUGAAAACACAUGCAGUUAAUCUUGAGCAGAACGAGAGUUUAUUAGCAUUCAAUCCUCAGAUUGCAGAAUGGGGUCAUUGCACUUGUCCCACAAUCCCUGAGGACUUGGCCUUAUUAUUCCAUCUCUGUUUUUAUGUCAGCAAUGAUGCAGAAUCAAUUUCAGCCCACACCGGACUGUUCACUUUAUAUUUUCCAUUUAAUUUAUACUUGUUAUGGUAGGGAAUCCAGACAACAAGGUGUAAUUUAUACAUCUUUCUUCAACUAUACACACGUAUAUGUGCAUAAUAAUACAGUAGUGAGUAGUGAAAUUUUUAACAUGCAUUCACACAAAAACUGACAAUUAGUACAAAACAACAACAACACACGAACACACUAACACUGCAAGAACACUAACUUUCACUUAAAAAAACACUGGCAUCCUAAAUCUCCGACCCAAAGGCAAUAACUCAAACUCAUAAAACAAAGGAUGCCUGUGAUCUGAUAUGAUUUUCAUGGCUUCGCUAAGGCAUCUUGUUUGGUAGAUUUG